GGGAGACACUGCCAGCCGCCGUCAGGACAAGCAGCAUGUGAAGAUGCCGACAUCAACAGCAAUGGUGUCCUAGCUGAGCAAGAGCUGGAAGCUCUCUUCACCAAGGAGAUGAUGCUCCUGUCCCAGCUCCAGCAGGUGACCAGAAAGAUGUGGCUGCUUCUGAAAAGAAGGCCCCAGAACAACCCCUGAGCUGCCCCAGCUGGACUCCCAGCACUUACAAUCUCUCAGUGACCGCCCCCCCCCCACGCCUCCAAGUUCCUACAGACAGCUGGAUGAAGUGUCCUUGCGGCCUCUCUGGAGGCCUGAGCCUGCAUGGCCUCCUGGGGAGGAGGACGGGGCUCCCUGUUCCUUAGAGGCGCCUGUGUCUGCCCCCUCAGCUCUCCCAGCCUCCAGGUCCCGGCCCUUCCUCUGUCUCCUGGCUUCUUUACUCUGUCAGGGACUCACUGCAGGAGCUGGAGCUGAGAGAGACCCUCACGUACCUGGAGUACAUGCUCCAGGCAUGCCUUCCUGGUUUGCUCUUGGCUGUUCCAGGCUUAGCCACUUUGCAUCCUGUGCCUAGUGUCACAGGGUCCCAGGAGCUUGGCUUGGUCCCUUUUACUCUGUCUUCUGUGGGGCCAGAGAUCUCAGUUCCUUUCAGUGGCUGGAGGCUUGGGACAUGGGGUGUCCUUCAAGUAACUGUCAGCUCUGCCUGGGCCCCUGGCUUCCAUCGCCACCUCACCAGCCGUACCCUGACCUCCUGGGCCCAACCCAUGCCCCCAGAAGGUACCCAGGUACGGCUGCACACCUAGCUGAGAUUCAACCGCCCUCAGCCCCCAUUGGGCGCUCCUGAAAAUUGGUACACCCUGGCUUCAUGCCACACUACGAUAUCCUGCUCUAUGCUCCAGUUCCAUUCAAAUAUAGCCUGGCACAAAUAAACAUUAGCGUGUCUGUGUGUA